GAAUCUACAGGUGAAGACGGUAGCCUAUGAACAAGCAAUAAUUAUGAGAGGACUAUAAUGGAGGUAGGCGGUACUCUUUCAGGAAAGCAGAUGCUUUAUCAAAGCUAAAACUUUGUCCUGGACAUGAAAUCUGUGAACAUAAGUUUAUGUGAUGAUCCAUGUAGCAGAGAAUACUACAAAAGCCAAGUGAGGAAUGCAUACAAGCUCUGCACACUGAAGGCUCAGUGAAGAAAAGUUAGGGGCCAGUUCUUUCACUCGCCAGUUCCAAGUAGUGAGAAGAUAGAAAGGGGAAAGCAGUGGCAAUGUCCCUCAGUUUCUCUGGGGAGACAUCAAUUCUUUCUACCUUUGGAGUUUUGGGCACCUGACCAGCCACCACUACAGUCGCCUGCUCCACCACAGGAUAACCCGGGACUUGGGGCAGUAAGAAACUGAGGAAUAAAUACAGAAUUUCCUCCUCCUCUCUCUUCCUGUCUCUCUGACCCCUAGGAUCUCCUUUGUUCUUCACAUGAAAAUGAAAGGGCAUCUCUUGGGCUUUUUGCUGUCUGCACCUGAUUUCCAGGUUCCCGCCUGUCUUUGGUCUAAACAAGCAAGAAAAAUCAGGGAGAAAAUGAUCUGGCAGUACUUAAAGUGUGAGUUUCUUUCCUCAACCUGCCUAUGUCUGUGUUGUUUUCAGAAUUCCUAGAGAACUACUCGAUGCUUUCCACCCAGGGUUUUUCUGAGUUCCUUGAAAGAUGCAAGGUGGAUUUUGUGUGCCACAUCAUGACUGGACAUCCAGGAAAGGACAGGCCGUCUUCAUUUUGAUUAUCUGCUGUAAUCUACAUCAUUUUAGCAGAUACCAACCAAUGCAGAGCAGCUGUGCACAGGAGCAGCCCCACUCUAACACAAUGAAAACCAGAGACUCUAGAAUAAGGCCUGGAUUCUGGCCACCAAAGGUAAAGUACAUGACUUCUUUGGAUUAUGGGACUCUUUACCCAGGCUCCAUCUUUCUUCUGUCAUUGCUCAUGUGAGGCAUCUCGUGUGUGUGAGUGUAUGUAUAGUAUCUAAUAUGAUGCAUGAAGGGAAUACUCAUUCACAUUCCCUUUUAUUGAGACCAUAAAACAUCACUGCCUAGAAAACCAUGCUUCUGUUGAUUGUUUUAUUUCUAAAGCUAAUAUUGCAAAGAACUUCUGCUACUAAUGAGAAAAGAUAUGCAUAAAAACUGUUGUUUUGAAAACAAAAGUACAGGUCCUGUUUUAUUUAUUGUUGCAAUCAACUCCUCACCACCUCCAUCCCUCAAUAAAAAACAUACUUUUAGUCUUCA
rnacentral:lncRNA from 1 species